AAUCGUAAAGAUGUGACGUUCAGGAAGCCUUAUCACAGUUACCGCGACACGAGUUCAAUCGAAUCAAGUUCACUGAGCAUUUGAGUCGUGCGCAGAAUACAAAACAAAACAAAACAAAACGGAAGUUCCUGUGGACGACAGUGACUGGAUGUUAAACCAUCGUUACACACAAGCGCCGUCUUUCCUGCACCUGUUCCCGCUCACCCUGCAGCCAGUCACACCAGUCUUCAUUAGCGCAGCUGCUGCCGUCCCUCAGCCCUCAAGUCAGGAAGUCUGAUUAGAUACAGAAUGUCACCUUGCCCAUAUCAAGUGCUGGCGACCGGAAUAAUACACAUGACGCUGUUGCUGAUUUACAUCAGUGAACUGCCGUUUCUAUGGAAACAAAGAGUGCGAGGCCGGCCUGGGUUUGAUGGAGUGCUGUCAGACAGCGAGGAGGAGGUCGGAUCGUGUGUGCGUGUGUGUGUGUGUGUGGCCCAGAGGGAUCCUGAGCUCUAUAGAAGCGGUAAAGCUCCAGAAGAAGCUGUGCUGCAUUCACUCGGUUCUC